AAUCAACGCUGGCGGCGUGCCUCAGACAUGCAAGUCGAACGAUGAAGCCUAGCUUGCUAGGCGGAUUAGUGGCGCACGGGUGAGUAACACGUAGGUAAUGUACCUUUGAGUGGGGAAUAACUUAGGGAAACUUAAGCUAAUACCGCAUAAUGCAGCGACUCGACAUCGAGACAGUUGUUAAAGGAGUAAUUCGCUUAAAGAGCAGCCUGCGGCAGAUUAGCUAGUUGGUAAGGUAAUGGCUUACCAAGGCUACGAUCUGUAACCGACCUGAGAGGGUGGUCGGUCACACUGACACUGAAUAACGGGUCAGACUCCUACGGGAGGCAGCAGUCGGGAAUUUUGGGCAAUGGGCGAAAGCCUGACCCAGCAACGCCGCGUGAAGGAUGAAGUAUUUCGGUAUGUAAACUUCGUAAGAAUAGGAAGAAUAAAUGACGGUACUAUUUGUAAGGUCCGGCUAACUACGUGCCAGCAGCCGCCGUAAAAC
rnacentral:rRNA from 1 species